AGACUCUCGGCAACGGAUAUCUCGGCUCUUGCAUCGAUGAAGAACGUAGCGAAAUGCGAUACUUGGUGUGAAUUGCAGAAUCCCGUGAACCAUCGAGUCUUUGAACGCAAGUUGCGCCCGAAGCCAUUAGGCUGAGGGCACGCCUGCCUGGGUGUCGC
rnacentral:rRNA from 1 species